rnacentral:rRNA from 1 species
AAUCAACGCUGGCGGCGUGCCUAACACAUGCAAGUCGAACGAGAAAGUGGAGCAAUCCAUGAGUAAAGUGGCGACCGGGUGAGUAACACGUGACUAACCUACCUUCGAGUGGGGGAUAACCUCGGGAAACCGGGGCUAAUACCGCAUAACAUCUUUGAAGUGGAAAUUUCGAAGAUCAAAGGAGCAAUUCGCUGGAAGAGGGGGUCGCGGCUGAUUAGCUAGUUGGUGGGGUAACGACCCACCAAGGCUUAGAUCGGUAGCCGGCCUGAGAGGGCGCACGGCCACACUGGAACUGAAACACGGUCCAGACUCCUACGGGAGGCAGCAGUGGGGAAUUUUGCGCAAUGGGGGAAACCCUGACGCAGCAACGCCGCGUGGAGGAUGAAGGCUUUCGGGUUGUAACU